rnacentral:rRNA from 1 species
GAUAAACGCUGGCGGCGUGCUUAACACAUGCAAGUCGAACGAAGUUUUUCUUUCGGGAGGAACUUAGUGGCGGACGGGUGAGUAACGCGUGGGUAACCUGCCCUGUACAGGGGGACAACAGCUGGAAACGGCUGCUAAUACCGCAUAAGCCCUUAGCACUGCAUGGUGCAUAGGGAAAAGGAGCAAUCCGGUACAGGAUGGACCCGCGUCUGAUUAGCCAGUUGGCAGGGUAACGGCCUACCAAAGCGACGAUCAGUAGCCGAUCUGAGGGGAUGUACGGCCACAUUGGGACUGAGACACGGCCCAGACUCCUACGGGAGGCAGCAGUGGGGAAUAUUGCACAAUGGAGGAAACUCUGAUGCAGCGACGCCGCGUGAGUGAAGAAGUAUUUCGGUAUGUAAAGCUCUAUCAGCAGGAAAGAAAAUGACGGUACCUGGCGAAGAAGCACCGGCUAAAUACGUG